rnacentral:misc_RNA from 1 species
CGCACCUUGCGCCCCUUGGUAUUCCGAGGGGCAUGCCUGUUUGAGUGUCAUGUUAAUCUCAAACCACUUGUCUUUUUUUCUAUUGAAAGGCUCGAGGUUUGGACUUGGAGGCUUUGCUGGCGCCAUUUUGAGUCGGCUCCUCUUAAACUCAUUAGCUGGACUUUGGUUCGCGUUUACGGUGUAAUAGUUAAUUCUUUCGCCAAAGCGCUUGCCUAACGGGUCUGCUUCUAACGGUCUGCGUAGUCGGACAAGGGAAACAACCCUUCUUGACACCUUUGACCUCAAAUCAGGUAGGACUACCCGCUGAACUUAA